CAAACGGAGAGUUUGAUCCUGGCUCAGGACGAACGCUGGCGGCGUGCCUAACACAUGCAAGUCGAACGAAGACCAUAGAGGAGCUUGCUUUAAUAUGGUUUUAGUGGCGGACGGGUGAGUAACGCGUGAGGACUUGUCGAGUACAGGGGGACAACAGGUGGAAACGUCUGCUAAUACCCCAUAAGCCUUCGGGUAAAAGGAGCGAUCCGGUACACGAGAGACUCGCGUUCUAUCAGCUAGUAGGUGGGGUAACGGCCCACCCAGGCCAAGACGGAUAGCCGGACUGAGAGGUCGAUCGGCCACACUGGAACUGAGACACGGUCCAGACUCCUACGGGAGGCAGCAGUGGGGAAUAUUGGGCAA
rnacentral:ncRNA from 1 species